GGGAGAGAGAAACACAGAUUUUUCCGAUGGUUUGAUCACUUGAAAGAUCAACUUUAUGUUGCCUUCACCCUCUGGUUCAAAAGAUUCGGUCGAAUAUCAAAAACAGAUCUCCCUUGAGUGAAAUAGCAGCUAUGCCUACUCUGAUCGUUCCUCUGAUUCAAAUACUGAGUUCUGCCUCAAGGAAUAAGGAGCUUUGCUGCUGUUUUGCAUGGUCAAGGACUCCAAUAGCGUAGCCUACUGAAAGCCCUUUUGUUAUCUUAGAUUUAGUGAAUUGGGAGAAGAGAAUAUUUUGUAAUAAUAGUUAUAUGUGUGUCUGGGUGUCUCAUGUUGUUAAGGAACCUU